AUGCCUGGUGGACCUUGGACUUUCAUUGGUAACUCGGUUCUUCUUGCUGAAUACGGCAGCUUCUCCAAACCAUCAUCCAUUGACCUGGAUCCUUUCAAGAUUUGGAUCCAAAUCCAUGAUAUGCCUAAUGGGUUUAGUUCUAUGGUGAAACCCUUUGCAUCUAAAGUUGGGGAAUAUGUUUUUGUUGCGUCGGAGAAUUUUUUACAGAGCCAGAGUAAAGUUGGAUGUUCGCAAACCACUGAAGAAUGUGGUGUCUAUGGUAAAAGAAAACAAGCGUCAAAUUAUGUGGUGAAGUAUGAACGUUUACCUGACUGGUGCACCGUAUGUGGCAUGCUGGGGCACCUGUACACUAACUGUGGGGAUGGUGUUCAUUUGCCGUCGAAGCUCUAUUUCAAGGACCUAAGGGCUACUCGUUUCUUGUGGUUGGGAGGCCAUGGCCGUGGGGGCCAUGGACGAGGCACCAACGGAGGUGGAGGUAACAACAACCAACAUCAAGAUGAUUUUUUCUGA
rnacentral:rRNA from 1 species